AGAACCUCCAUCAAAAGGAUUAAGAUGAGCAACACGAUCAACUAAGAUUCUUUCUGCUUCUACUGUAUAUGAAAGAGGUCCAACAAAAAAAAAAGUGUAUCGAGUGCUUUGUGUUGAUUGAAGAGUACACAAGUAGCUAACUUUAUCGGAGAAAGAAGUUGCAAAAUGGAUAGAAAUUGGAUGAGUGCGAAUAGAUUAUCAGCAGAGUAUAAGGAAGGUGUUGACUUUUUUUUGGAUUUUUGUCAUAAGCACGCAAAAAAUCCAAAGUUGAUUCUUUGUCCUUGUCUUAAAUGUGGUAACAUGGAGCGUAUGAAUACUAGUAAAAUAAAGGAGCAUUUAUUUAGGAACGGAAUAGACAAGAGUUAUAAGGUUUGGUGUUACCACGGGGAAAAUAUUA